UUGGAAUUUCAAUAAAGAAUCACGUUUUCAGCAAUUUUGUUUUCCACGUUCAUCUUCAAAAGGUGAGAUGCUCAGUGCUAUUAGUGGUUUGUCCACAUCUUUUCAAAUACGUUGUUAUGUAUGGAUUUAAUUACUUCAGUUCAGAGCUCCUUUUGGGAGAAAUCAUGAUAUAGUUUAAGGCACAAUUUAGCCUUCACGUUAUUUGUAGCGCUUGCUUGAAUUAUCAUUUGUCAUGGUGUGAUAAUUCUCAUGUUAUGUUGGUAGAAAUUAGUAUGCUGGACGGCGGUGGAUGGAUGCAUAUUGGACCAAUGGAUCUCCAUCAUGAAGUACUCUAAUUUUUAGAAACACUAGAAUAUUUAUUAACAUUUGAUUAUUAUUAUUUUUAAAUUUAGACUCAAUUGUGAGUCACGUCAUAACUUUCAAUUAGUCCUAUUUUUAUUAUUUGUUAGAACUACUUUUAUUAAUGUUUGAUAAAAGAUAUGAUUCCAAAUUGUUCCGCAUAUGUUAUUUAAUUUAAUUUACCUUUUGUUAA